CCUACGGGCGGCAGCAGUGGGGAAUAUUGCACAACGGGCGCAAGCCUGCUGCAGCCAUGCCGCGUGUGUGAAGAAGGCCUUCGGGUUGUAAAGCACUUUCAGCGGGGAGGAAGGCGGUGAGGUUAAUAACCUCAUCGAUUGACGUUACCCGCCGAAGAAGCACCGGCUAACUCCGUGCCAGCAGCCGCGGUAAUACGGAGGGUGCAAGCGUUAAUCGGAAUUACUGGGCGUAAAGCGCACGCAGGCGGUCUGUCAAGUCGGAUGUGAAAUCCCCGGGUUCAACCUGGGAACUGCAUUCGAAACUGGCAGGCUAGAGUCUUGUAGAGGGGGGUAGAAUUCCAGGUGUAGCGGUGAAAUGCGUAGAGAUCUGGAGGAAUACCGGUGGCGAAGGCGGCCCCCUGGACAAAGACUGACGCUCAGGUGCGAAAGCGUGGGGAGCAAACAGGAUUAGAUACCCGAGUAGUC
rnacentral:rRNA from 1 species